rnacentral:rRNA from 1 species
CCUACGGGUGGCAGCAGUGGGGAAUAUUGGGCAAUGGGCGCAAGCCUGACCCAGCAACGCCGCGUGAAGGAAGAAGGCUUUCGGGUUGUAAACUUCUUUUAUCAGGGACGAAGCAAGUGACGGUACCUGAUGAAUGAGCCACGGCUAACUACGUGCAAGCAGCCGCGGGAAUACGUAGGUGGCAAGCGUUAUGCGGAUUUACUGGGUGUAAAGGGCGUGUAGGCGGGAGGGGAAGUCAGAUGUGAAAACUAUGGGCUCAACCCAUAGCCUGCAUUUGACACUGUACGUCUUGAGUGCUGGGGAGGCAAUCGGAAUGAGGUGUGUAGCGGUGAAAUGCGUAGAUAUA